rnacentral:rRNA from 1 species
UACAGAGGAGCCAAGCGUUGUCCGGAAUCAUUGGGCGUAAAGCGCGUGUAGGCGGUUCGGUAAGUCCGCUGUGAAAGUCGGGGGCUCAACCCUCGAAAGCCGGUGGAUACUGUCGGGCUAGAGUACGGAAGAGGCGAGUGGAAUUCCUGGUGUAGCGGUGAAAUGCGCAGAUAUCAGGAGGAACACCAAUUGCGAAGGCAGCUCGCUGGGACGUUACUGACGCUGAGACGCGAAAGCGUGGGGAGCAAACAGG